rnacentral:rRNA from 1 species
CAGUAGCCGCGGGAAUACGUAGGUGGCAAGCGUUGUCCGGAAUUAUUGGGCGUAAAGGGCUCGCAGGCGGUUUCUUAAGUCUGAUGUGAAAGCCCCCGGCUCAACCGGGGAGGGUCAUUGGAAACUGGGAAACUUGAGUGCAGAAGAGGAGAGUGGAAUUCCACGUGUAGCGGUGAAAUGCGUAGAGAUGUGGAGGAACAUCAGUGGCGAAGGCGACUCUCUGGUCUGUAACUGACGCUGAGGAGCGAAAGCGUGGGGAGCGAACAGGAUUAGAUACCCCGGUAGUCCCUGUCUCUUAUAC